CUUCUUCUCCUCUUCCUCUUCCUUCUCCCUCUUCCUCCCUGUCGGCGUGUCAUCAGAUCUGACCAGUGUGUGUGUGUGUUUGCGUGCGUGUGCGUGCGUGCGUGCGUGUUUGCGUGCGUGUUUGCGUGCGUGUUUGCGUGCGUGUGUGUGUGUGUGUGUGUGUGUGUGUGUGUGUGUGUGUGUGUGUGUUACAGUGAGGUGUCUCUGGAGCUGCCAUUCAAACUGAUGAACCCGAACCCUGAAACAGCCAAAGAGAGUGAAUCAGAGGACUUUGUGUUUGAGGAGUUCAAGCGAGUCUACCUGAAGGGCGUCGUCUACGGGGACGAUGACGAGUCUCCUACUGAGGCCUGAACUACUAGAUGUCCCAUGGACAGGAGGACAGGAGGACAGACAAACACAAAGACAUAUCCGUUUGUUUAAUAUGUUACUUCUUGACUCUUUUAAAGUGAGACAUGGUCUGAUUUACUGGAUAAUAAUUGUACUUUUUAAGACAAGAGUGAAAGUACAAAAUAAAAUUCUAAUAACGUGACUGUAAGUGACUCUUUGAAUGAAAGACUUUCAGGAGGUUCAUUGAUAUGAGAUUGUCAUCACAUUUUAGAAAUAUUUCAUUUUAAAAUGAACAUUUCUGUUUGUCUGAUUGAUGACCAACUAGUUAUUGAUCGAUGCUUCUGACAUCCAGAAUCAGAAGCCGUUUAUUGCCACGUAUGUUACAUUGAAUUUGUUCUGGUGAUUGGUGCAGUUUUAUGAGACAAAUAAAAUGAAAGUAAAAAGUAAAGAUAUUAACAAUAUAAACAGAUAAGUACGUUGAGACAUGUGGUACGUUGGACUACAUUACAUCCCACGUUUAGCUGACGCUUUUAUCCAAAGCGACUUACAAUAAGUGCAUUCAACCAUAAGGUACAAACUCAGAAGAACAAGAAACAAGAAAGUGCAAUUUCAUCAAAUAAGCCAAUUUACAACUUGCUAUAGAUAAGUGGCGUUAUAAGUACAAUUUAAGUGGUACAAUUUGUUAGUCUUUUAGUCGAGGUAGAGUCUGAAGAGGUGAGUCCUUAGUUUGACUACUGUGGACUACUGUGCAAAUGUCCU
ensembl:lncRNA